UUUUCCAAAAACAUAGCCAAGUUCAAGUCUACUAGGUGAUACCUGCUCAGUGGUCAAUAAUUAAAUUAACUUAAAAGUUAAAAAUUUGACUAAACAGCUGCCUUAAUCCUAGAGGGUACUAAGUAAGCAUAAUCUGAUGCCGUUUGAUUGGCGGAGAGUUGAAUGGAUUAACGAGUGCAUACCUGUCUUAUCAAAAGAAAAAUUUAAUUAGACAUUUAAGUGAAGAGGCUUAAAAUAAUAGAAAGACGAGAAGACCCCGUGAAGCUUUACUAUAAACUAACUUUAUAAUUUUUUUUUCUUUAUUUUUUUUUAUUAAAUUAGCCAAUUUUGUUUAUUAUUAGUAGUUAGUUUGGUAGUUUGGGUGGGGCGCCCGCACUUUAAUAAAAACAAGUAGUUGAUAACAUAAUUAUUAAGACUAUAUAAAUUACUUUUUUAUUUAGGGUUAUUUUACUAUCAAAAACCCUUACUAUUUAAAUAAUAGUAGGUCAUAGAAUAAUAGCUACUCCGGGGAUAACAGGGUAA
rnacentral:rRNA from 1 species